AAAAUAACCAUGAUUCCCCUAGUAACGGCGAGUGAAGCGGGAAAAGCUCAAAUUUGAAAUCUGGUAGAGUUUUAUUCUUUGCCCGAGUUGUAAUUUCAAGAAGCUGCUUUGAGUAAUGAACGUCGGUCUAAGUUCCUUGGAACAGGACGUCAGAGAGGGUGAGAACCCCGUCUUUGGCCGAUGUGCUUUGCCAUAUAAAGCGCUUUCUAAGAGUCGAGUUGUUUGGGAAUGCAGCUCUAAAUGGGUGGUGAAUUUCAUCUAAAGCUAAAUAUUGGCGAGAGACCGAUAGCAAACAAGUAGAGUGAUCGAAAGAUGAAAAGAACUUUGAAAAGAGAGUUAAAUAGUACGUGAAAUUGCUGAAGGGGAAGCAUUGGAAACCAGUCUUACCUUGGUGAGAUCAGCUGUUUACUGUAGACAGUGCACUCUGAACCUAGGUAGGUCAGCAUCAGUUUUCGGGACGAAAAGAUAGGGAUAUGGCUUUGGGCUUGCUCAGAAGUGUUAUAGCCCUUAUU
rnacentral:rRNA from 1 species